CAUAGAUUGUUUGGUUCGCAACAGCUCGUCCUUUUAAGUCAUCAGCUCUCCUCGUACGCGACGUCAAACCAAGGCUUCUUCAGUCUCUCGCUGUCUUCGAGCUCAGCGCAUAGAUCAGUUGCAGGGGUUUAUUGUGUUUGUGAUCUUGUUUGGCUGUUUCAGCUUCACUCGCACAAUUCAAUAAUGUCCCAUAUCCUUGCAAUUCGGAUCUGUUUUUUCCCUCGAACGCGGAAGCCAGAGAGAGCAAGACCGUGAAAGGGCUCAGGCCAGGUCUGGCGGGAAAUCCAAGCAGCCCAAAAACGAUGGAUUAACCCCCGAACAACGCCGCCAAAGGGACGCCAAAGCGGUGCAAGAAAAGGCGGCAAAGAAGGCUGCUCAGGCGGGAGGGGUCAGCGGCGGUAAAAAUUGACUUGGGUUGAAGAUUAGGGUUUAGAUGAAAUGGGAGUGUGUAAUGUAAUUGUGUGGUUAGCAAUCUAAUUGAAUAUUGAGUCCGUUUGAGUCUUUGAGAAUAUUGAGAUGAACAAUCUAAUUGAAAGUGUUUGUCUUGGUUGGCAUAUUGGCAUUGUGCUGUGUAUUGUUCGAUUCUGAAAGCUUUCAACUUUA